GUGUCAGCCGCCGCGGUAAGACAGAGGUGGCAAGCGUUGUUCGGUGUCACUGGGCUUAAAGGGUGCGUAGGCGGCAUUGUAAGCAUUUUGUGAAAUCCCCCGGCUCAACCGGGGAAUUGCUUGAUGUACUGCAAUGCUUGAGGCAAGUAGGGGUGCAUGGAACUCUUGGUGGAGCGGUGAAAUGCGUAGAUAUCAAGAGGAACGCCGGUGGUGCAAACGGUGCACUGGGCUUGCCCUGACGCUGAGGCACGAAAGCGUGGGGAGCGAACGGGAUUAGAAACCCUCGUAGUCC
rnacentral:rRNA from 1 species